UGCCAGCCGCCGCGGUAAUACGAAGGGGGCUAGCGUUGUUCGGAAUCACUAGGCGUAAAGCGUACGUAGGCGGACUAGUCAGUCAGAGGUGAAAUCCCAGGGCUCAACCCUGGAACUGCCUUUGAUACUGCUAGUCUUGAGUUCGAGAGAGGUGAGUGGAAUUCCAAGUGUAGAGGUGAAAUUCGUAGAUAUUCGAAGGAACACCAGUGGCGAAGGCGGCUCACUGGCUCGAUACUGACGCUGAGGUGCGAAAGUGUGGGGAGCAAACAGGAUUAGAUA
rnacentral:rRNA from 1 species